GGCGGCUGCAGGAUUUGACUACUAGUCGGGCAUGGGUGUGGCACAGGAAAUGGGUUGGGCGCGAAGCGCGCCGCGAUUUUGGCCACACCCUUUUUUACGCACCCUUUUUAGCGCAAUUUUUUGGUAGCGAAGGUUAUUGUAAUAAAGUAGUGGGUGGUCUAGCUCCAACACUGACUUCUGUAGUGGUAAUAGUAUACUAGUAGUAGUAUUAGUAGAGGAAGUAGAAGAAUAGGGUGAUGGAGAAUGAGCAACAAUUGACUGUACAUCAACUGUAGCUGUAAAAACUGUAGCUGUAUCAACCACAAGAGUAGACUGAGACUCAUGAUCAUCAACUGAUUCAGCAAGAGACUGACCUAAACAGGCUUGUUCACAAAGGACAUAGUGAAGCUAGUCCAGGCUUUUAGACAUUGCAACUGACAAGAAAAGAACACUGAAAUAGCACUAAAUAAUGAAAUGAUUAUGCUUUCUAGUGUUGCUGUGGUGGCCCACUGUGAUUGGCACCAAAGUCUUACCACCUCCUCCUUUAUUUAGUCUCUCUUCAUCACCUUGUUAUCAGCCUGCCAUUUAUGCAUUCAUAAUUAUAAGAUUUUCAUAAAAAAUUGAAAUUAUAAUUGCAA